rnacentral:rRNA from 1 species
UAACAAGGAUUCCCCUAGUAACGGCGAGCGAAGCGGGAAGAGCUCAAAUUUGAAAGCUGGCACCUCCGGUGUCCGCGUUGUAAUCUCGAGACGUGUUUUCCGUGCGGCUCUAUGGACAAGUCCCUUGGAAUAGGGCAUCGUAGAGGGUGAGAAUCCCGUACUUGCCAUGGAAGAACCGUGCUUUGCGAUGCACGCUCUAAGAGUCGAGUUGUUUGGGAUUGCAGCUCAAAAUGGGUGGUAGACUCCAUCUAAAGCUAAAUAUCGGGGAGAGACCGAUAGCGAACAAGUACCGUGAGGGAAAGAUGAAAAGCACUUUGGAAAGAGAGUUAAAAGUACGUGAAAUUGUCGAAAGGGAAGCACUUGAAGUCAGCCAUGCUGCUUGAGACUCAGCCUGGCCUUUGGGCUUGGUGUAUUUCUCGGUGGCAAGCCAGCAUUGGUUUGGGUCGUCGGAGAAGCGCAUAGGGAAUGUAGCGUCUCCGGACGUGUUAUAGCCUUAUGCAGGAUACGACGACCUGGAUCAAGGAACGAGUGUGCCCUCUGGGCGGGUCUUCGGACACCUUCACACUUAGGAUGCUGGCGUAAU